rnacentral:misc_RNA from 1 species
AGUGGAACCGGAGCAGAUAUGGAUGUUGUUAUCUCUAGUGUCCGAGCGUAUAUUGGUGCAUUGAACAAAAUGUUGAGUUACGAAAAGCUGGUGUCAAGAUACAGCAAACCUGAAGACAGUGUGGUGGUAUAAGAAAAUGUUCGUAAUGUUCCAGUUUCUUGUCAUUUCUCUUGUCAAUUGUAUAGAACUAGGGGUGCCUUAUCAACAAAUUACGACUUGCCUGGAAGAACGAUAAAAGGCAAAUUUGAGUCGUAAUGCAUUUUCAUUUUCUGCAGGUUGAUGUACAAGCUUGUACUAAAUGUGUUAAAGUCAUUUUAGGCUUUGUGUUGUACCAAUCAAACACAGAUCCUUU